AACGCGAAGAACCUUACCUGGGCUCGAACGGCUCACGAACGUCCUUGGAAGCAGGGAUUUCCCGCAAGGGACGGGAGUCGAGGUGCUGCAUGGCUGUCGUCAGCUCGUGUCGUGAGAUGUUGGGUUAAGUCCCGCAACGAGCGCAACCCUUGUCCUGUGUUACCAUGCCGAAAGGCGGCACUCGCAGGAGACCGCCAGCGAUAAGCUGGAGGAAGGUGGAGAUGACGUCAAGUCCUCAUGGCCUUUAUGUCCAGGGCUACACACGUGCUACAAUGGGCGGUACAAAGCGCUGCUAAGCCGCAAGGUGGAGCCAAUCGCAAAAAGCCGCUCUCAGUUCGGAUUGCAGGCUGCAACUCGCCUGCAUGAAGCUGGAAUCGCUAGUAAUCGCGUACCAGAACGACGCGGUGAAUACGUUCCCGGGCCUGUACACACCGACGCGUAC
rnacentral:rRNA from 1 species